UACAGAGGGUGCGAGCGUUAAUCGGAAUUACUGGGCGUAAAGCGUGCGUAGACGGUUAUUUAAGUCGGAUGUGAAAGCCCCGGGCUCAACCUGGGAAUUGCAUUCGAGACUGGAUAGCUAGGGUACGGUAGAGGGAAGCGGAAUUUCCGGUGUAGCGGUGAAAUGCGUAGAUAUCGGAAGGAACAUCAGUGGCGAAAGCGGCUUCCUGGACCAGUACCGACGUUCAGGCACGAAAGCGUGGGGAGCAAACAGG
rnacentral:rRNA from 1 species